AUCGCUUCUCGGCCUUUUGGCUAAGAUCAAGUGUAGUACGCGACAUUUUUGUCGGAAAUUUUCGCUCCGUGAAUUUUCGAAUUUUUCUACCUCUU